rnacentral:rRNA from 1 species
GGCUCUUGCAACCCACAAAUAAGAGGUCCAACCUGCCCAGUGACAAUAAGUUUAACGGCCGCGGUAUUUUAACCGUGCUAAGGUAGCGUAAUCACUUGUCUUUUAAAUGAAGACCCGUAUGAAAGGUAUCACGAGGGCCCUCCUGUCUCCUACUUCAAGUCUGUGAAAUUGAUCUGCCCGUGCAGAAGCGGACAUAACAACAUAAGACGAGAAGACCCUGUGGAGCUUAAGACCAACUAAUCAAUCGUGCCUAACAGCCAACCAUCCCAACAGGAAAUAAAAAGCCAAGCAAGCAUAACGACCUGUGAUUAAAUGUCUUCGGUUGGGGCGACCAUGGAGGACAGAAAAGCCUCCAAGAGGAAGCAGGGGACCAGUUUAAUUGAUCCCUAAGAGCUAAGAGCCACCCCUCUAAGCAACAGAAAACUCUGACCAAUAAUGAUCCAGACACUAGCCUGAUCAACGAACCAAGUUACCCCAGGGAUAACAGCGCAAUCCUUUCUCAGAGCCCAUAUCGCCGAAAGGGUUUACGACCUCGAUGUUGGAUCAGGACAUCCUGGUGGCGAAAAUUCUACCAAGGGUUCGUUUGUUCAACGAUUAAAGUCCU